CCGGGCAGUUGCGGGAGGUGGAGCGGGAACGGGGAGGGCCGGUUGGUGGCGGCCUGGCUGAGAGGGAGGGGCCGUCAAACCUGCUGGGUGGCGGCUGCACUCUGCGCGCAGCAAGGCAACGGACCGACGGCCUGGAGGCGCUCGGCGCAGGUGUCCUGGGACUUGAUGGCGAACUUCAAGGGCCACGCGCUCCCUGGGAGCUUCUUCUUGAUAGUUGGACUGUGGUGGUCGGUGAAACACCCACUGAAGUACUUUUAUCAAAAGGAGAAGAGCAGCCAACUAACCCAUCACUACCAGCGUCUCGAGAUCAUCGAAGCUGCAAUCAGAACUUUGUUUUCAGUCAUCGGGAUCCUGGCAGAGCAGUUUGUUCCUGAUGGGCCCCACCUCCACCUGUACCACGAGGACCACUGGGUAAAACUCAUGAACUGGCAGCACAGCACCAUGUACCUGUUCUUCGCAGUCUCGGGCAUCGUGGACAUGCUGACCUACCUCAUCACCCACGUCCCCCUGGGGCUGGACAGACUGGUUAUGGCUUUGGCCGCCUUCAAUGAAGGCUUUCUCUUCUACUACCACGUGCACAACCGGCCGCCGCUGGACCAGCACAUCCACUCCCUGCUGCUGUGUGCUGUAUUCGGAGGCGCCCUCAGCCUCGCCGUGGAGGUAGUCCUUCGGGACAACGUCGUGCUGGAACUCUUCCGCACCAGCCUCCUCCUCCUUCAGGGCACCUGGUUCUGGCAGAUUGGGUUCGUGCUGUUCCCACCUUUUGGAGGCCCUGAAUGGGACCAGAACAAUGAUGACAACAUCAUGUUCAUCACCAUGUGCUUCUGCUGGCACUACCUGGCUGCGCUCUGCAUCGUGGCCGCCAGCUACUCGCUAGUUUACUGCUUCCUGACGCGGGUGAAGAGGCUGGAAGACAGAGAAGUCAUUGGGAUUCAGAAGCUGAGGUCGGAUCACACAUACCGGAAGGCCCUCCUGAGUGGCUCAGAUGAGGAGUAGGGGCGGCUCCCGGUCAGCAGCGGAGGGUGGCGUGUCCUGUAGGCGCGCGGUCAGCGGGCCAGCUCCCUGCCUCCGCUGCUGCCCUUACUGUGAUCUGCUCCCAGGGUCCCACCUUCUCGCUUAACCAACUAAGGCUCCUCAUCUCCCCAUCACCAACCUCCUCUCUGCGCCAGCCCUCCACCACCCAUCAAGAGCUCCAUCCCGCCCCGCCCAUUCACCCCUGCAAUCUGGCCCCCAGGUUCACCCCUCCCGGCUCAGGGCGGCCACCAGGUCUCACCAGAACACAUCACUUCCCCGCAGAAAGGCAGCAAAGAGGGCGCUUGACCUACAACCAGAAGACUGCACUCACAUCUUGGUUCUCUCUAACCUCAACUCGGACACAGAUUCUCUCAGUUGAAAGAGGGAUGACUGCGCCUGUUUCACAGAUCUGCUUUAGGAAUCAAACGUCUUUGAGUCCAGUGAUCUGCUCUAACUUUCUCUGCACCACUGCAACUUGCCUGAUACUCAACUUCCAGCCAGCAACCCCUCCCAAAGAUGCCAUUCCACUUCUCUGCCCUCCAACUCCACUUCCUCACCCUGACCCCGUCAAAGAUUGUCACGGAACUUUCAUGGGUGAGGAAAACAUUCUUAAUAACCCAGAUACUUUUCUGAGAGACAGAAAAGCCCCAUGGCUGCAGAAAAGCUUUACCACCCAACGCCCAUUCCGAUAUGAAAGAGGCACAUAUUGUUGACAACCAGUGGUUUUAAUUACAUUUUAAAACAGCAUUCUGAG